rnacentral:rRNA from 1 species
UACGUAGGGUGCGAGCGUUAAUCGGAAUUACUGGGCGUAAAGCGUGCGUAGGCGGUCUGUUAAGUGUGAAGUGAAAUCUCCAGGGCUCAACCCGGAAACUGCUUCGCAUACUGGCAGACUUGAGGAAUGCAGAGGUUUGUGGAAUUCCUGGUGUAGCGGUGAAAUGCGUUGAUAUCAGGAGGAACACCCAUGGCGAAGGCGAGCAAACUGGGCAUUAGUCUGACGCUGAGGCGC